rnacentral:tRNA from 1 species
GCCACCGUAGCACAGCUGGCAGUGCAGACGAUUCGUAAUCGUCAGGUCAUGGGUUCAAAUCCCAUCGGUGGCU